UUUCCCAUUUGACUGCCACGUUUUCUCCCAAUAGAUUCCAGUGGCUAUGCUUGUGGGAUAGAUCAGCAUUGCCAUGAUCUGAAGGGGAAGGAUUUGUGUGUGUCCUCUUUCUAUAUGAAAUGGCUAAACAGAGAAGA